rnacentral:rRNA from 1 species
UGGGGAAUAUUGGACAAUGGGGGAAACCCUGAUCCAGCGAUGCCGCGUGUGUGAAGAAGGUCUUCGGAUUGUAAAGCACUUUAAGUUGGGAGGAAGGGUUGUAGAUUAAUACUCUGCAAUUUUGACGUUACCGACAGAAUAAGCACCGGCUAACUCUGUGCCAGCAGCCGCGGUAAUACAGAGGGUGCAAGCGUUAAUCGGAAUUACUGGGCGUAAAGCGCGCGUAGGUGGUUUGUUAAGUUGGAUGUGAAAUCCCCGGGCUCAACCUGGGAACUGCAUCCAAAACUGGCAAGCUAGAGUAUGGUAGAGGGUGGUGGAAUUUCCUGUGUAGCGGUGAAAUGCGUAGAUAUAGGAAGGAACACCAGUGGCGAAGGCGACCACCUGGACUGAUACUGACACUGAGGUGCGAAAGCGUGGGGAGCAAACAGGAUUAGAUACCCGCGUAGUCCCUGAGCGGGCUGGCAAGGCGCAU